rnacentral:rRNA from 1 species
GAUGAACGCUGGCGGCGUGCUUAAUACAUGCAAGUCGAACGAAGCACCUUGGACAGAAUCCUUCGGGAGGAAGACCAUUGUGACUGAGUGGCGGACGGGUGAGUAACGCGUGGGUAACCUGCCUUGUACAGGGGGAUAACAGUUGGAAACGACUGCUAAUACCGCAUAAGCGCACAGUACCGCAUGGUACGGUGUGAAAAACUCCGGUGGUACAAGAUGGACCCGCGUCUGAUUAGCUUGUUGGUGAGGUAACGGCCCACCAAGGCGACGAUCAGUAGCCGACUUGAGAGAGUGAUCGGCCACAUUGGGACUGAGACACGGCCCAAACUCCUACGGGAGGCAGCAGUAGGGAUAUUGCACAAUGGGGGAAACCCUGAUGCAGCGACGCCGCGUGAAGGAAGAAGUAUUUCGGUAUGUAAAGCUCUAUCAGCAGGGAAGAAGAAUGACGGUACCUGACUAAGAA